AUUUCAGGGCGGGGUGAAAGUCCCCACCGGUGGUACAGUCCACGAGCCGACGCCUUAUGCGACGGUUGAGCAGGGGAAGUUCCUGCACCGACGGUUAUAGUCCGGAUGGAAGAAAGU
rnacentral:ncRNA from 1 species